UACGAAGGGGGCUAGCGUUGCUCGGAAUUACUGGGCGUAAAGGGCGCGUAGGCGGAUAGUUUAGUCAGAGGUGAAAGCCCAGGGCUCAACCUUGGAAUUGCCUUUGAUACUGGCUAUCUUGAGUUCGGGAGAGGUGAGUGGAACUCCGAGUGUAGAGGUGAAAUUCGCAGAUAUCAGGAGGAACACCGGUGGCGAAGGCGGGACUCUGGGCCGAUACUGACGCUGAGGAGCGAAAGCAUGGGGAGCGAACAGG
rnacentral:rRNA from 1 species